AGAGUUUGAUCCUGGCUCAGAACGAACGCUGGCGGCAGGCUUAACACAUGCAAGUCGAGCGCCCCGCAAGGGGAGCGGCAGACGGGUGAGUAACGCGUGGGAAUCUACCGUGCCCUACGGAAUAGCUCCGGGAAACUGGAAUUAAUACCGUAUACGCCCUACGGGGGAAAGAUUUAUCGGGGUAUGAUGAGCCCGCGUUGGAUUAGCUAGUUGGUGGGGUAAAGGCCUACCAAGGCGACGAUCCAUAGCUGGUCUGAGAGGAUGAUCAGCCACAUUGGGACUGAGACACGGCCCAAACUCCUACGGGAGGCAGCAGUGGGGAAUAUUGGACAAUGGGCGCAAGCCUGAUCCAGCAAUGCCGCGUGCAGGAAGAAGGCCUUCGGGUUGUAAACUGCUUUUGUACGGAACGAAACGGUCCUUUCUAAUACAAGGGGCUAAUGACGGUACCGUAAGAAUAAGCACCGGCUAACUACGUGCCAGCAGCCGCGGUAAUACGUAGGGUGCGAGCGUUAAUCGGAAUUACUGGGCGUAAAGCGUGCGCAGGCGGUUUUGUAAGACAGGCGUGAAAUCCCCGGGCUUAACCUGGGAAUGGCGCUUGUGACUGCAAAGCUGGAGUGCGGCAGAGGGGGAUGGAAUUCCGCGUGUAGCAGUGAAAUGCGUAGAUAUGCGGAGGAACACCGAUGGCGAAGGCAAUCCCCUGGACCUGUACUGACGCUCAUGCACGAAAGCGUGGGGAGCAAACAGGAUUAGAUACCCUGGUAGUCCACGCCCUAAACGAUGUCAACUGGUUGUUGGGUCUCUUCUGACUCAGUAACGAAGCUAACGCGUGAAGUUGACCGCCUGGGGAGUACGGCCGCAAGGUUG
rnacentral:rRNA from 1 species